rnacentral:rRNA from 1 species
CCUACGGGUGGCAGCAGUGAGGAAUAUUGGUCAAUGGGCUUACGCCUGAACCAGCCAAGUCGCGUGAGGGAAGACUGCCCUAUGGGUUGUAAACCUCUUUUGUCAGGGAGCAACGCCGGCUACGUGUAGCCGGACUGAGAGUACCUGAAGAAAAAGCAUCGGCUAACUCCGUGCCAGCAGCCGCGGUAAUACGGAGGAUGCGAGCGUUAUCCGGAUUUAUUGGGUUUAAAGGGUGCGUAGGCGGACUGGAAAGUCAGCGGUAAAAUCGAGAGGCUCAACCUCUUUCCGCCGUUGAAACUGUCGGUCUUGAGUGGGCGAGAAGUAUGCGGAAUGCGUGGUGUAGCGGUGAAAUGCAUAGAUAUCACGCAGAACUCCGAUUGCGAAGGCAGCAUACCGGCGCCCGACUGACGCUGAGGCACGAAAGCGUGGGUAUCGAACAGGAUUAGAUACCCUUGUAGUC